UCGUGAUGACUACUAAUAUCGCUAUUGUACUCUCCUUAUGCAUGGUUUUGUCUGUGGCAUGUCAGCAGAUUGUACAGCGUGGAACAGCCUUGCCGCAACAUACGAGGAUUCGGCGAAGUAUCCCAGGCGUAGGUACAUUUAACAAAGUCCUUACUGAGAGUCGUAUGCCAAUUGCGCAUGGACUCAAUAUAACACUACAUGGACGAUGAAAACACCAAAUAUUUUAAAUAACGGUUUCUGUUGAUAACGUUGAAGGACAUCUACCCUGGGUUUUUUUCUCUGAUAUGUGUUGUGAUUUUUGACAAUCUUUGUUCCGUUUUUGAAAUUUGGAAAUUUAAUUAAACCUCCUGGGAAAGACGAGCUGUGUAUGAAAAUGAAGGAAAUUGCAUUAAAAAUUAUAUAGCUACA